CAAGUCGAACGGCAGCGCGGGGCAACCUGGCGGCGAGUGGCGAACGGGUGAGUAAUAUAUCGGAACGUACCCUGGAGUGGGGGAUAACGUAGCGAAAGUUACGCUAAUACCGCAUACGAUCUAAGGAUGAAAGUGGGGGAUCGCAAGACCUCAUGCUCCUGGAGCGGCCGAUAUCUGAUUAGCUAGUUGGUGGGGUAAAGGCCUACCAAGGCAUCGAUCAGUAGCUGGUCUGAGAGGACGACCAGCCACACUGGAACUGAGACACGGUCCAGACUCCUACGGGAGGCAGCAGUGGGGAAUUUUGGACAAUGGGCGAAAGCCUGAUCCAGCAAUGCCGCGUGAGUGAAGAAGGCCUUCGGGUUGUAAAGCUCUUUUGUCAGGGAAGAAACGGUGAGGGCUAAUAUCUCUUGCUAAUGACGGUACCUGAAGAAUAAGCACCGGCUAACUACGUGCCAGCAGCCGCGGUAAUACGUAGGGUGCAAGCGUUAAUCGGAAUUACUGGGCGUAAAGCGUGCGCAGGCGGUUUUGUAAGUCUGUCGUGAAAUCCCCGGGCUCAACCUGGGAAUUGCGAUGGAGACUGCAAGGCUAGAAUCUGGCAGAGGGGGGUAGAAUUCCACGUGUAGCAGUGAAAUGCGUAGAGAUGUGGAGGAACACCGAUGGCGAAGGCAGCCCCCUGGGUCAAGAUUGACGCUCAUGCACGAAAGCGUGGGGAGCAAACAGGAUUAGAUACCCUGGUAGUCCACGCCCUAAACGAUGUCUACUAGUUGUCGGGUUUUAAUUAACUUGGUAACGCAGCUAACGCGUGAAGUAGACCGCCUGGGGAGUACGGUCGCAGAUUAAAACUCAAA
rnacentral:rRNA from 1 species